UUUGCACUUGAGAAGCAGGGUGACUCCU
rnacentral:piRNA from 1 species